rnacentral:rRNA from 1 species
CCUACGGGAGGCAGCAGUGAGGAAUAUUGGUCAAUGGACGAGAGUCUGAACCAGCCAAGUAGCGUGAAGGAUGACUGCCCUAUGGGUUGUAAACUUCUUUUAUAUGGGAAUAAAACGUUCCACGUGUGGGAUUUUGUAUGUACCAUAUGAAUAAGGAUCGGCUAACUCCGUGCCAGCAGCCGCGGUAAUACGGAGGAUCCGAGCGUUAUCCGGAUUUAUUGGGUUUAAAGGGAGCGUAGGUGGAUUGUUAAGUCAGUUGUGAAAGUUUGCGGCUCAACCGUAAAAUUGCAGUUGAAACUGGCAGUCUUGAGUACAGUAGAGGUGGGCGGAAUUCGUGGUGUAGCGGUGAAAUGCUUAGAUAUCACGAAGAACUCCGAUUGCGAAGGCAGUUCACUGGACUGCAACUGACACUGAUGCUCGAAAGUGUGGGUAUCAAACAGGAUUAGAUACCCCAGUAGUC